UACGGGGGGGGCAAGCGUUGUUCGGAAUUACUGGGCGUAAAGGGCUCGUAGGCGGCCAACUAAGUCAGACGUGAAAUCCCUCGGCUUAACCGGGGAACUGCGUCUGAUACUGGAUGGCUGGAGGUUGGGAGAGGGAUGCGGAAUUCCAGGUGUAGCGGUGAAAUGCGUAGAUAUCUGGAGGAACACCGGUGGCGAAGGCGGCGAUCCUGGACCAAUUCUGACGCUGAGGAGCGAAAGCCAGGGGAGCAAACGGG
rnacentral:rRNA from 1 species